CAGUUCGGAUCGGAGUCUGNAACCCGACUCCGUGAAGCUGGAUUCGCUAGUAAUCGCGCAUCAGCCAUGGCGCGGUGAAUACGUUCCCGGGCCUUGUACACACCGCCCGUCAAGCCAUGGAAGCCGGGGGCGCUUGAAGUGCGUUGCCGCAAGGCGCGCCCUAGAGCGAAACCGGUGACUGGGGCUAAGUCGUAACAAGGUAUC
rnacentral:rRNA from 1 species